AUGGUUGCAGAAUCAAAAGCGCCAUUGGCAACAUACUCGCAUAAGUUUGUUCCGCAGCGUUUGACCGCGGGUAAAAAGAUUGUUAUCAAGUUGAGUGCACCAAGCCCAAAAGACAAGUCCAAAGUGCUGAAGUUGGUGAGCAAAAUACAAGGUGUGGAUUCCAUGCGUAUAACCAGUGACGGCAAGGACUUGCUAGAGGUGAUUGGCGGCUUUGACCCGGUACAAGUGGUUUCUAGCCUGCGCAAGAAGGGCUUCCCCUCCGUCCAAAUCAUCAGUGUGGGGCCAGCGAAGGAUGCCGAACAGAAGUCGACACGGGGCACUGCACAAGGCAAGUCGAAGUCAGCCCCAGAAAAGACCAUCGAGUAUCCAAAGUAUUUAGGAACGGAGGGAGUAGAAUGGAAACUUCAUGCCAUAUCUCAGGUGGGCUUGGUGGUUUGCUAG
rnacentral:rRNA from 1 species